AGUGAACGCUGGCGGUAGGCCUAACACAUGCAAGUCGAACGGCAGCACAGUAAGAGCUUGCUCUUACGGGUGGCGAGUGGCGGACGGGUGAGGAAUACAUCGGAAUCUACUUUUUCGUGGGGGAUAACGUAGGGAAACUUGCGCUAAUACCGCAUACGACCUACGGGUGAAAGCAGGGGAUCUUCGGACCUUGCGCGAUUGAAUGAGCCGAUGUCGGAUUAGCUAGUUGGCGGGGUAAAGGCCCACCAAGGCGACGAUCCGUAGCUGGUCUGAGAGGAUGAUCAGCCACACUGGAACUGAGACACGGUCCAGACUCCUACGGGAGGCAGCAGUGGGGAAUAUUGGACAAUGGGCGCAAGCCUGAUCCAGCCAUACCGCGUGGGUGAAGAAGGCCUUCGGGUUGUAAAGCCCUUUUGUUGGGAAAGAAAAGCAGCAGGUUAAUACCCCGCUGUUCUGACGGUACCCAAAGAAUAAACACCGGCGAACUUCGU
rnacentral:rRNA from 1 species